rnacentral:lncRNA from 1 species
CACAGCCUGGACCGGCCUGCCCCCGCCCAGCGAGCCUCAGGGGCCCAGCCGACAGCCAGGCUCACGCGCCCUUGAAAUCUGCCGGUACUCGCUCUGCGGGCUGGGCUGGGAGAUGACGAGGACCCCGGUGGGGUCUGCCCGCACCCGGCCAAAGCCCAGGAAGCUCGGGCCCCAGCGAGGAAAGGCGCUCCAAGCCUCCUCGCGGCUUUCAGAGGAACAGAAUCCCCAGCCCUGGUGAAGAAGAGGAUGCCUGAUGCGUGCACCCUGGGAAGGGCUGGAAUCGGUCUCCCCAAGAUGUGCCUUCACAUGGCUGUCCGGCAUUCGAAGGCUCAGAAAACAGUUUUCCAGGGUCCCGCAGCUGCAAUUCAGCAGCCACCGGCGCCUCCUGACCGUGGUCCCACCGUAGCGCCGCCUGCGGAUACGGUUCCAGUGAACCGCCGAUUGAGCGCAGUCUCAGCUCCCGCGCCUCCUCGCAGCCUGGCCCCGCGCCUCGGAGGUCCCGACAGCCGGCGCGAGCAAUCUACACGGCUCUGAUACAGACGCUUUUCUCCCCAGGGCCGGGAAUCCUGCAACAGCGGCAGAAGCCGCCCGCGCCUCGGGCUUCCGGCGGCCCAGCUCUACUAGGGAAGCGUCGCGGCUGCUCUGAGGCAGGCAGCGCUUCGCUAGAACCACUCAGCUCGUCCCGCGCCGCCGCCGGCUGCCUGAACCAGGUUCCGCUGUCCCCUUUCCUAGCGGGACCCCGAAACACCCGGCGGCUUCCCGCUCCUGAGCGGGAGAGAAUAGAGCUUGCUGCAACCCUCUGCUUGGAGGGAUGGCCUCUGCGGUGCUUGGCUAGCAAAGGGAAGCUUCACUGUGUCUAUUAGUACAUCCCCAUACACUCCACGCCUCAACAACUGUCAGCACUCACUCCCUCCCGGCCCCUCACAGGGCCCUUUGCACCCACACCUCAGGGACUCGGUGUCCCUCCACUCAGGUCACGUUACUCCAUCCACUUCUCUCUCCUUCUCCCUCUGUCAACUCCAAAUCCCCUCUAGUUCUCCCUCCCCUCCUACUUCUCUCACACUCACCAGCUACACGUACUAAUUCAGAUUUUGCACAUGUUGGUGGAAAACAUGUCAA